rnacentral:rRNA from 1 species
AUUGAACGCUGGCGGCAUGCCUUACACAUGCAAGUCGAACGGUAACAGGUCUUCGGAUGCUGACGAGUGGCGAACGGGUGAGUAAUACAUCGGAACAUGCCCAGUCGUGGGGGAUAACACUUCGAAAGAAGUGCUAAUACCGCAUACGUCCUGAGGGAGAAAGCGGGGGAUCGCAAGAACUAGCUCGAUUGGAGUGGCCGAUGUCAGAUUAGCUAGUUGGUGGGGUAAGGGCCUACCAAGGCAACGAUCUGUAGCUGGUCUGAGAGGAUGAUCAGCCACACUGGGACUGGGACACGGCCCAGACUCCUACGGGAGGCAGCAGUGGGGAAUUUUGGACAAUGGGGGCAACCCUGAUCCAGCCAUUCCGCGUGAGUGAAGAAGGCCUUCGGGUUGUAAAGCUCUUUCGGCAGGAACGAAACGGUGAGCUCUAACAUAGCUUGCUAAUGACGGUACCUGAAGAAGAAGCACCGGCUAACUACGUGCCAGCCGCCGCCGUAACAC